GGGGUGCUGUCAGAUGUUCUAACGCACAUCGUAACAGGCAUUUUUGACAGCCAACUCUCUCCGAAGGCUUUCCACCACCUUGCUGGCAUUAACAGGCCCACGGUCUGUUCUCGCAGCUACUGCUGGCGAGCCGAGCCCUCGCUGAGCGCACGGGAUCCACCUGGCAGCAGGAAGGAGCCGAACUCGCCACGGGAGCAGCAGCCCCCGCGAGAGCUGCACGACCCACCUCACCCGCGAGCGGGCUGGGCACCAAGGAGCGUGCCAGCUCCCCGGACGCCGGCCCGUCGAGGCACCUUCUCCACGCCGGGACGCGCCGAGGUGCUCAGGAGCAGGCCCCGUGCCAUCACAGCAGGUCCAACGCGGCGGGCACCACGCUGCUGGGGUGCACGGUGCUCGCUGUCUCCCCUGCACCGUGGCUUCCCCACCUGGCACGGCGCUGGGGGCUCCCCUCGCUGCCCCGAGGGAGGGAUAAAAGCGUGGGGAGCCCGCUCUGGGGCACGGCUGGGGUCUGCCGCGGGGCGAGCCAAGCCCGGCGGCGGGGCCCCCAGCAGAAGGCAGGCUGGACCGCAGCAAACUUUCCGGGUGGGCGAGGAGGGCAGCCUCCACCGAGCCCACGGAGCGGGGUCUCCGCCUCUCCCUCCUCCAGGCAGCGCACAGCCGGCCCCGCACACCUCCCCUCCUCCACCGCCGCCCCAAAAUCGCCUCCCGGGNNNNNNNNNNNNNNNNNNNNNNNNNGACUUACCGGCCUCACUCGGCGGCCCGGAGAGGCGGCCCCGGCCGCCGCAUCCCCCCCGCCCGGCUGCGGGCGGCGGCGCCGCCUCCCCGCUCAGCUCCUGCCGCCGCCGCCUCCUCUUCUUCCUCCUCCUCCUCCUCCUGCGCCCGGCCCCGCCGCCUCCAUUUCCUCCCGCCGCCGCCGGCAAGCCCCGGCCCCGCCGCGGGGAUGGGGAGGAAGGCGGAGGCCGGCUCGGCCCCGCUCCGAGGAGCCGCAGCGCCGCUCCCGGCCGCCCCGGGGCGGAGGCAGCAGGGAGGGACGGAUGCGCCGCUCGCCUCGCCCCGCCUCGCCUGGCCCCGGCGGGCUCCGGGCGCCGCGGCCUGGUGGCUCGGCCCCGCCGGCUUUCGGCGCUCGCAGGGCGGUCGGGGCUCGUCCCCGGGGCCCUAAAGCCGACAGGCAGGUGGGCUGGCGUGUAUUUACCAAUCUGGUCUUCAGAAAGGGUCUUGGACGCGCCUCUAGCGGUCGCGUCUCAAAACGGGCAGCUGAAAAUAGGACCUCUGCGCGCCCGCAGGGCUUCAGUACCCCCGAGUGCCAUCAAAACACCGUGGGGGCCAGGCCUUCUGAAGGAAGCGGUGGUACCGGAGCAAAGCCACCUCGUUUGGUGCUCCUUGGAUACUCAUGCACCUUCCAGUGUGAAAUCAUGGCACGACACCAAGGACAGGCCCCAAGAGACGUGCUCCUGCUAUCUGACCCAGCACAAAAGCGGUCAUGUCCCCUCUGUCCAGUCAUAA
rnacentral:lncRNA from 1 species